UACGUAGGGUGCGAGCGUUAAUCGGAAUUACUGGGCGUAAAGCGUGCGUAGGCGGUUGCACAAGCUUGAUGUGAAAGCCCCGGGCUCAACCUGGGAAUGGCAUUGAGGACUGUGUGGCUUGAGUGCGGCAGAGGGAGGUGGAAUUCCAGGUGUAGCAGUGAAAUGCGUAGAGAUCUGGAGGAACACCGAUGGCGAAGGCAGCCUCCUGGGCCGACACUGACGCUGAGGGCACGAAAGCGUGGGGAGCAAACAGG
rnacentral:rRNA from 1 species